rnacentral:rRNA from 1 species
GUACACGCUGUGACUAGCAUAUCAAUAAGCGGAGGAAAAGAAACUAACAAGGAUUCCCUUAGUAACGGCGAGUGAAGCGGGAAGAGCUCAAAUUUGAAAUCUUCAAGGUUUUACCUUGACGAAUUGUAGUUUAAAGAAGUGUUUUCUGCUGAAGUUUUGGUAAAAGUUCUUUGGAAUAGGACAUCAUAGAGGGUGAGAAUCCCGUAUUUGACCAUUAUUUUCAGCUUUGUGAUACACUUUCAAAGAGUCGGAUUGUUUGGGAAUGCAGUCCAAAAUGGGUGGUAAAUUUCAUCUAAAGCUAAAUAUUGGCGAGAGACCGAUAGCGAACAAGUACCGUGAGGGAAAGAUGAAAAGAACUUUGAAAAGAGAGUUAAACAGUACGUGAAAUUGUCAAAAGGGAAGCGUUUGACACCAGUAGUUGUUUUCUCGAAAAUCAAUUAAAAAUGGCUCGAUUUUGUAUUGCUUGAGACCUUAAAAGCUCACUGUACAUUAUUCGUGUCUUUUUUAAUGCACUUUUCGUUUAACAAGUCAACAUCAGUUUCUUUUGUUGUAAAAGGGUCAUUGGAAGGUGGCUUUCUUUUCGGAGAAAGUGUUUAUAGCCUUUGGCCUCUGCAAUCGAAGAGACUGAGGUCUGCAGCGUAGACUCUUCGGGGUUAGAUACAUUUGUGCUAAGUUAUAGCUUUUUAUAGACAACUUGUUGACUAUAAUUAGUCUUGUUAGCUUACUCGCUUAUGCUAUUUUACCUACGCUUAGGAUGUUGAGUAGCGACAUACGCAC